ACCCUGGAGCUCUCCCCAGGGGAAGCUGCCUCACUCAUGUGAGUUCUCUACCCUGGGCACCAGGAGGCACCUGAGUCCUUGGAACCAGGCUGGGAGAGAUGUUGGCCAGUGAAGGUGAGAGAGAAGGAGGGAGAGAGGGAGGUUUCCUGGAACACAGCAGAUAAUGCACCUGCAGAGAGCCCAGGGGCUCGCCCACCUGGGCCAGGUGAGCCCUUGUCCCCACGGAGUUGGGCGCGCCUCUGUGCACCUGUGCUGUGGUCCCCCAUGCACCAUGGAGAGCCUUCUGGGAUACAUUUGAACCAGAUGCAGGGGAGGCUUUCAGAGACAGCGGAGCCGGACAAGAACAGCAGGACUGGGGCAGGCCUCCCUCACCCUUCUCUACCCAGAGGGUGGUUGGGGUCCCUUCUGUGGCUGAGAUUGACUUGGGGCCUCAGGGGACUGUGGAGCAGGGAAUUGUCAGGUGGGUGCCAGGGUCCAGGUGGGUAAAUGCAAUCGAGAGUAGACUUGGGGCUGGCCUUGGGUAGGGGACUUGCAUGGGGCCUUUUCUAGAAUGCAGAUCACCCUGUGGGGCUUUUAUUGAGGUAGGAGGGGAGCUGGGUCCAUGGGGCCAACAGGUUACAGGGAUAAGGUGAGUUCAGGAACAUCUCCAAAGGCUCCUCAGCAUCCUGGCAGUGGGAUAAGCAAGGACGGCAGCCCUGAUGCCCCAGGCAGUGGGGGUGGGCCAGGGAGAUCCACAGCCUGAGCCCUCUCCUCACUCCCCUUGGUCAAACUCACCAGGUGCCCUGCUGGCUCAGGGGCUCUGAUGCAGCAAAGACAGACCAUCUGGAGGGUGCUACUGAGAAGGUCUAGAAAGCCCACAGGGAGCUCCACCACUCUCUGCCACCAAGGAGUCCCAGGGAGACGGACGGGAGACUUGCCAAUGGAGGUCCUUGGAGAUGCAGAGAGCACAAGCAGACACGGGCACUCUCAGGAGCCCUGGUUAAAUGUGACUUGUGCAGAGGGUCAAAGAUUUGUUUUGGCAAAGCAAGGAGAAAGGCAAGAAAGCCAAGCAUUGUGGCUACUGUCAGACCUUCUAAGUACUUUCCACUGUGGGCAAAGUAUAAAGAAAGAGUUCCUUCUGGUUCCUGGUCUUGCCCGUCCUAUCAGCUGUGUCCUUCUGGAGCCUAGCAGCACCCAAAAUUUCUGUGACCAGAGCAGUGACGACUUGCGGCAAAGCAGGCUGCAGAGCUUCUCCACCUGCCUUGGACCCUCCUGGCUUCCCUGCUGUUGACCAUGUCUCCUGCCCAGGAAGGAUGGGGGAAUUUCCUGAGAGUUCUUUGUGCUCUAUAUGAAGUUAAUACAAAUGCAAAUUCAAUACAACAAGAAUUCAAAGACAAGCAAUAAGGAGUUGCUUCUUUACUUGUCCUGAUAAAUCCUUCCACAUGGAAGGAUCCACACUGGAACUCUCUGACCUCUCUCUGACCCCACACUGGAAGUGGGGGAACAUCUGAUUGCAGUUCAUCAGGUGCGGCCAAACCCAACAAUAAGAGAAUGAAGCAGCAGGAUGAAAAGCCACGAAAGAUUGUUCGACAACAUUCUGCAACGAAAAGAGUAUGACCCAAGAAUACGAACAUGAUCAUUCAUGUAUGAAAGCAACUACCAGUCCUUUCCCACCAUGAAAGAAGGCAGGAAAUAAAACACCCAUCAACUCUUCUUGAAAUUAGUUUUCAGUGACAAAACCCUGUCAACCGAGAGAUGAUUCAAAAUUAAAAAAUACUCGGUAAUGUGGGACCUAUGCCAGAAUGACAGAGCUUCAGAUCUAUUUGAGUGCAGAACUAGGAAUAGCAAAUAGGUGAAUGCUGGUUGCAGAAUAGAAUGCAAAUGUUAUAAAACCUGUCAAAGUAAAAAUAAUCUAAGCAACAAAAGUUGGGCGGUGGGUGGAGGGGAGAUGGGAGUGCCCUUAUUAACAAGCUCUUUCAUCCGUGACAUCUAAAAUUGAAACAAGUCGUUUAAAAAAACCCACAGAGACUGCAAUCCUUUAACAGUUUUUGUAGCUCUGCUCCCUCCACCCACCCACCCCCACCUCUCUUUUUCCAUUAGAAGGAUCUUUUAGGAACGAAUACUUCUAGUGAUGAGUUAACAUUUUUCUAAAGUCAAGCUACAUUUCCAUUUUACUUCAGUUUCUUCUUAUUCAGUCAAUUUAUAGUAAGCUUAAAUUUCAUGCUUGUCAUUUUAAAAUGGAAAAUAUUGUAUGAUCAUAUUUUUACGCAAUUUCUUUUGUCCAUCUUUCUACCCGUCCAGCCCUAGUUUCCUAGGGCUGCGAUCACAAAUUACCCAGUUACGUAAACCAGGUGGCUUAAAACCACAGAGACUUCUUCUCCCACAGUUUUGGAGGCUAGAAGUCCAAACUCAAGGAGUCGGUGGGGCCGUGCUCCCUCUGGAGACUGCAGGGGAGGAGCCCUUCACCUCCUCUUGCUCUGAAUCCUCGGCUUCCAUCACAUGCGGCUGCGUCACCUGCUGUCUGCCUCCGAAUCCACAAGGCAUUUUCCCCGUAUCUGUGUGUCCACACACGGGCUUCUCAUAAGGACCCCCAUCACGUUGGAUGACGGGGCUGCCCUAUUCAGGAUGACCUCGUCUUUACCUGCUCAACCUGCAGGUAAGACUGCAUCCACAGGUGCCAGGGGUCAGGACUUCAACACAUCUUUUUGGGAGACAGAAUUCAACACGUCACACCAUCUGUCCAUCCACCCAUCCCUCUAGCCUUUACUCGGAAUAGCCUGGAAUGAAGGCCACCGAUGCUAACCCUGGUUAAAUCUGGGUGUUUGGAUUUGGGGUGACUGUUGCUUUCUUCUUUGUUCAUGUAUCAUUUUUUUAAAAAAAGAGUCCAACAGAGUAAAA